UAGGAGCAAUCCAUGAGUAAAGUGGCGACCGGGUGAGUAACACGUGACUACCUACCCUUGAGUGGGGGAUAACCUCGGGAAACCGAGGCUAAUACCGCAUAAUAUCGAAAGAUCAAAGGAGUAAUCCGCUUUUGGAGGGGGUCGCGGCUGAUUAGCUAGUUGGUAGGGUAAUGGCCUACCAAGGCGAAGAUCGGUAUCCGGCCUGAGAGGGCGCACGGACACACUGGAACUGAAACACGGUCCAG
rnacentral:rRNA from 1 species